rnacentral:misc_RNA from 1 species
GAAAUGCGAUAAGUAGUGUGAAUUGCAGAAUUCAGUGAAUCAUCGAAUCUUUGAACGCACAUUGAGCCCUUUGGUAUUCCAAAGGGCAUGCCUGUUCGAGCGUCAUUUGUACCCUCAAGCUUUGCUUGGUGUUGGGCGUCUUGUCUCUAGCUUUGCUGGAGACUCGCCUUAAAGUAAUUGGCAGCCGGCCUACUGGUUUCGGAGCGCAGCACAAGUCGCACUCUCUAUCAGCAAAGGUCUAGCAUCCAUUAAGCCUUUUUUUCAACUUUUGACCUCGGAUCAGGUAGGGAUACCCGCUGAACUUAAGC